AAUAUUUUAAAACUACUAUAAAUCGCUGCGCGCAAAGCAAUUCAAAUUAGUCCGCCGCGAGGCUUGCUGAAGGAAGGACGUAUCGCUCCGUGCUGCGCAUGACCCUUGUUGGCCCUUGUCGCGCAUACCUGAGUAGUGAACAUUUAUAGCGCGAUCGAAAAAUCUUGGUUCUUUGGUAAGAAAAAUAUUUUAUUUUGUUGAACUAAUGGGAAACAAAAUGAAGAUGUUUUUAGCAAAGAAAAGAAAACGCAAAGAUGUAGAAAAUUUGGAAAGUUUGGAAAAGGCAAGAGAGGCUAAAAGGCAAUAUAAAAGUAAAUCAACUGAAGAAACAAUAACAGAAAAAGAUGAAUGUGAAAACCAACACGCAGAAAAGGUACCUUGAAUUGUAUUUGAAUAGCAGUAUUUUUGACCGACUUCCGAAGUUAAGUACAGUUAAUAGAAUAAUAUGUGCUAGUUUCAUGCCUAAAUCAUAUCUAUCUGCAAAACUGAAAGCUAUUAGAAAAGCUGAAAGUUUGCCUGUUUGUGACCUCUACAGAGAAAAGAACGACCAACAACUAUGGAGUUUUGGUCGCAAUUACUUAAGGAGGUAU